rnacentral:rRNA from 1 species
GCAUAACGCGAAGAACCUUACCAAGGCUUGACAUACACGAGAACACCGUAGAAAUACGGGACUCUUUGGACACUCGUGAACAGGUGGUGCAUGGUUGUCGUCAGCUCGUGUCGUGAGAUGUUGGGUUAAGUCCCGCAACGAGCGCAACCCUCGUUCUAUGUUGCCAGCACGUUAUGGUGGGAACUCAUGGGAUACUGCCGGGGUCAACUCGGAGGAAGGUGGGGAUGACGUCAAAUCAUCAUGCCCCUUAUGUCUUGGGCUUCACGCAUGCUACAAUGGCCGGGUACAAUGGGCUGCAAUACCGUGAGGUGGAGCGAAUCCCAAAAAGCCGGUCCCAGUUCGGAUUGAGGUCUGCAACUCGACCUCAUGAAGUCGGAGUCGCUAGUAAUCGCAGAUCAGCAACGCUGCGGUGAAUACGUUCCCGGGUCUUGUACACACCG